AUCCAAAGGAACGAUUUUGAGAGAUUUUCGGACCAAUCUCAUUCUCCUUUUUAUCUUUCUCCCUCUUCUCAUUUCCUCUUUGCAGAGGAAUUUGGCAAAGGGCAUUGGUUAAAUAAUAAGACACUCUCGUUAGAGUGCUCGUCCCUCGUGCCCUUACCUGCCUAUUCCAACUAUCUGGCAAAAUCAUGUCUUCGAACCAAAAUGCCGAGUUGAAACCAAGGAUGGGCUCUUUUAAGAAGAGGAGCUCUUCUAAGAAUCUGAGGUAUUCAAUGUCCAAGAAAAGAAGAAGUAGCAAAGUGAUGUCUGUGGAGAUCAUCGAGGACGUGCAUGACGCCGAGGAGUUGAAAGCGGUUGACGCCUUUCGCCAAUCGCUUAUACUCGAUGAGCUACUCCCGGAGAAACACGAUGACUACCAUAUGAUGCUUAGAUUUUUGAAGGCCAGAAAAUUUGAUCUUGAGAAAACCAAACAGAUGUGGACUGAAAUGCUUAAAUGGAGGAAGGAGUUUGGUGCUGACACUGUCA